AGGCCGCGGCAGUGAGCACCGGAAGGGGACCCUGGAUGGCCUCCGCUAGUCUGUGGGUCGAAGGGUCCUGCUUUUGAGCGAGCAUGGGAUCCUUUGAGACAGAGCUAGCACGCCUGGAAGAAGAGGGCUGAGCCCCGGGUCAGAAGACGGCACCAGAUCUCAUUACAGGUGGUUGUGAGCCACCUUGUGGUUGCUGGGAAUUGAACUCAGGACCUCUGGGAGAGCAGUUGGUGCUCUUAACCACUGAGCCAUCUCUCCAGCCCCUUUUGGGGAGUAUUUCUAAGCCAGGGAACAUAGUUCCUGGGUCUCACUAUAUACCUCUGGUUGGCCUGGAAAUUGCUAUGACCAGCGAGGCCUUGAAAACACCGAGAUCUACUUGCCUCUGCUUUCCAAGUGUUGGGAUUAGAGCCUAUGACACCACACCAGACUUCCUUGGCUGAUUUUAAUCCAUAUCCUUCCCCUGUGCCACAGCAUAACCAUGAGCCCUCACUUUCGAUGAACCUUUCUAUCAAAGGAUCAAUCCUAGCCCAGAGUGGUGGUGCGUGUCUGUGAUUCCCAGUAUGCUAGAAGCAGAAGCCAGGAAGGUGCUGAAAAUUUGAUGCUAGCUUGGUUUACAAUUCAGUGGUUCUUAACCUCCCUAAUGCUGCGACCCUUAGGUACAGUUCCUCACGUUGUGGUGACCCUGACCAUAAAAUUACUUGGUUGCUAA